rnacentral:rRNA from 1 species
GACGAACGCUGGCGGCGUGCUUAACACAUGCAAGUCGAGCGGUAAGGCCCUUUCGGGGGUACACGAGCGGCGAACGGGUGAGUAACACGUGGGUGACCUGCCCUCAGCUCUGGGAUAAGCCCGGGAAACUGGGUCUAAUACCGGAUAUGACUCCAUGACGCAUGUUGUGGGUGGAAAGCCUUGUGCGGCUGAGGAUGGGCCCGCGGCCUAUCAGCUUGUUGGUGGGGUGAUGGCCACCAAGGCGACGACGGGUAGCCGGCCUGAGAGGGCGACCGGCCACACUGGGGACUGAGAUACGGCCCACGACUCCUACGGGAGGCAGCAGUGGGGAAUCUUGCGCAAUGGGCGAAAGCCUGACGCAGCGACGCCGCGUGAGGGAUGACGGCCUCGG